UACGUAGGGUGCGAGCGUUGUCCGGAAUCAUUGGGCGUAAAGAGCGUGUAGGCGGCUAUUUAAGUCCUGCGUGAAAUCCUGCGGCUCAACCGCAGACGGUCGUGGGAAACUGGAUGGCUAGAGUGCGGGAGAGGAGAGUGGAAUUCCCGGUGUAGCGGUGAAAUGCGCAGAUAUCAGGAGGAACACCAGUGGCGAAGGCGGCUCACUGGACCGGUACUGACGCUGAUGCGCGAAAGCGUGGGGAGCAAACGGG
rnacentral:rRNA from 1 species